UACGAAGGGUGCAAGCGUUACUCGGAAUUACUGGGCGUAAAGCGUGCGUAGGUGGUUUGUUAAGUCUGAUGUGAAAGCCCUGGGCUCAACCUGGGAAUUGCAUUGGAUACUGGCAAGCUAGAGUGCGGUAGAGGACGGCGGAAUUCCCGGUGUAGCAGUGAAAUGCGUAGAGAUCGGGAGGAACAUCUGUGGCGAAGGCGGCCAUCUGGACCAGCACUGACACUGAGGCACGAAAGCGUGGGGAGCAAACAGG
rnacentral:rRNA from 1 species